AUCUCGGCAUGGGGGGGGCGGCGGGGGCGGCGGGGGCGGAACGGGGGCACCCCCGGGGCACCCCCAGCCCAGCUCAGGCCGGGGGCUGCCCCCGCACCCAGCUCGCCCGGCGCUGCGGGUGGCGGCGCCGGCAGCGGGCACCGAGCCGGGACGGCGGGGCAUUGUUCCCCCCCUCUCUUAUAGCCUGUCUGCGGCCGGCGGCCCCGCCCCGCAGGGGGCGGCUGGCAUGCCCUGCUCAGCACCUUCCCUUUGGGUGCUCUGCACCCAGGGGUGUCAGGGCUGCAGGAUUGGUCCCGGCCAGCAGCGCUAGGAGCCGUGGGGCUGGGGACAUGUCCCUGGCUGCAUCCCUGGCUCCACAGGGAGCCAUCGCCCCUGUCCAGGACCAGCAUGGACCAGUGAGGCCAGCCCAAGUGCGGCCCCGCGUUGUCCUGCACAGCCCAGCGCAGCCCAGUGCAGCCCAGAACAGACCGCCACAGCUCAGCGCUGCCCAGAAUAGACCAGAAUGGUCCAGCACAGGUCGGCAUCAGCCAGUGCAGCCCAGCCCAGCCCCACAUGGACCUCCCCAUCCCUCCCCAUCCCGUCCCGUCCCGUCCCGUCCCGUCCCGUCCCGUCCCGCCCGGCACCGCGGGGCUCAGCAGCCGCCAGCGGCGGGCGCCGGGCGCCACCUGCCGGGCUCGGGGCUCGGCUCCAGCGCCCAGCUCCAGCUCCCCGUGGCCGCUGCCAGCUCCCAGAGCCCAGCUCCAGCUCCCCGUGCCCGCUGCCAGCUCCCAGAGCCCAGCUCCAGCUCCCAGAGCCCAGCUCCAGGGGGGCUCCCAGCAGGGGGGUGCUGAGCCUGGCAGGAGAGGGCUGGCAGAGGGAGAGACCCCACACGCUGUGCUAUGGGGUCCCUGUGACGGACCCAGCACCCCACAUGCCUUCCCACCCAUGCAGAGCAGCCCUGAGCAUCCCGAUCCCACCUGCAGGACCCGCACAGCCCCGGAGAGCCAGGGCCAGUGCUCUCAGCCAGGCUCCUCCUGCUCCCGUGCUCCCCCAGCCCCUCGCCCUCCCAAGGGAGCGCAGGUGAAGCCCCCUCUUUCUCUCCCAAACACAUCUCCUUCAGCAGGCGCUGAGCUGCCAGGGGGCUGCAGAGGCUCCGCCUGCCCCUGCGCCACUGGGGUGAGCGGGGGACGGGGGCUCAGGGCUGGGGACACAGCCGGUGCUGCCCAGAGGCACCAGCAAGGCUCCUCCAUCCUACAGCUCACGGCCACGUCUCCUUCUCCCUCCUGUCUCCUUCCCCCUCCCCGGUGGCCUCGGGACCUCUCCAUGUUUUCCCAGGGUGCGGCAGGAGCUCGCCCCAGCUUCAAGGAGCUCCGGAUGCUUUGAGGGUGUGGAAGCACCGCUGGAGAGGGGCUGGAGGGGCCACGCAGCCCUUUGGGCCCGGGCUCACCAGGUGCUCUGCAAACACGACCCGAGAGCCUCUCGUGGCGCCCGCCCUGUGCCGGCUGUGCAAACAGGGGCGGGGGGGUGGGCGGGUGCCCCGGGGCACCCAGCAGGGCUGGGAGCUGCCAUGGGCUGUGCAGGCUUCUCGCCGCGCUGCCCUGGUCGCAGGGGCUGGCACGGCUCCGCGGGAGCUGCUGUAGCCCAGCCAGCAGCUGGCACAGCUCCAGCGUGCGACACGAGGCAGUUCCCAGGUCUCCAGUGCCCUUUGGAUCCCCGCUGACAGCAGGGCUGGACUUUGAAGCUCUGGACACAAGCGUUUCCCCACGGGGCACCCCAAUGGGCACCCUGAGCUCCGGGCUCUGCCUCUGGCCAGCCCCAUCCUGAAGCGGCCUUUGAGGUAUCCUGCCAUCC
ensembl:lncRNA